GGUUCAGGUACUGCUCUGUCCUCUUGUUGCUCCAAGUCAUGCGCUUGGUCUUCUUGUUCAGUUUGGUGAUGUGGAUCCGUCUGCUGUUCCUCGGGUUGGUGGAGAUCUCCUUCCGAUUGAGGUGCUUCGAACGAUUCAGAUCUCGAUCCGCUUCAGCCGCUUCAAGCAAGUCGGGCACUUCGUCUUCAUCUUCUUCUCGUUCUGGACCGCUCGUCUUCUCGAUUGUAUCUUCUUGUCCCGCUCCGUUGAUUGGUGCCGGUGCUGCGGAAGGAGGGGGCUCUCCAUGCAGAUCUGGUGCUUCCAUCUCGAUCGAGGGCUUUUGAGGUUGAUCAGGUACCUUUCUUCGCUCUUCUUCUUCAAAGUCUUUUUCUUUAGGUGUUUUGAUCUCUGCUUCCAUGUGCUUUGGUUCUCGAUCUCCAUUACGGUCCGUUCCUGAGCUUUCUGCUCCAUUCUGGUCCAAUUUCUCUUCGGCCCCUUCUCUUCUGAUUAGAUCCUCUUCUUUUCCUUGUUUGGUUUCUUCUUCUUCUUCCGCCUUUGGUGGUUUUGCAUCAUCAAUCGUGGCUCUCGCUUCGUUUGCUUCUGCAUGACCAUGAGGUCGGUCCAUAGAAAUCACUUCGUCUCCUUCAAGCUUCUGUUCCCUUGGAGCUUCUCCUCCUUGAACUUCUCGGAUUGCGAUUCCAGCGGCAUUACCUCUAACAGAUUUGGGCAUCAAAAUCACCAGAAUGUCUCCUUCCUCGUAAAAACCAGCAUCGAUCUGAUCCAACGCCACGCCAUUCGGGAUGCGAAACACCUUCCGAAACGGGUUAAUCUCGAACUCAUUCCUCAACCGCAGUCGUCUUCCAACCACCGUCUCAACGGCGGAUUUGUCCCCUCCUCCGCUGAUGCUAAUCUCCGUUCCCUCUUCAUUCACCGACACCUCGAUCUUCUCCCGCACCAAUCCUGCUGCAUCACAUCGUCGCUAAGAAAUCUGCGAUAACCAAAAAUAACCCAUAUGAUCGGAUGUGCCAUACCUGGAAGGUGAGCGAGGAGGACGAAGACGGCCUCCGUCUCGGUGGAGGCAAACGCGAGAUUCCUAGUGGCUCCCGUCACACUCAGGUCCAAUUCUAGCUCCAUAAUCCUAUAUUUCUGGACAUAGUAUUACUGGAAUAAAUGUAGCUAUAAGCGUCUUCCGUCGCAAGUAUGCGUUUCUUCGUCCCUUGACGGAGGAGAUGCUGAAAACGACAGAGAAGGUGGUGGAGGGAGGUUUGGGUGGUGAAGCUUUUGCGACCUUUGGAAGUUUACGGUUGCGUGGGCAGAAAGCUCAUUAACAGAGUACGAGUACACGAGCGAUUGAACACUUGUGUUUCAGAAGACUUACAUCACAAGCAAAGGAAACACAAGCAGAGACUUUAUUAGUUAAUAUCAAUCAUAUUGAUCAAGCAAUUUCGUGAAUCUUAAACACACGCACACAAACGAAGGCCUUCACGCGGUCCAGAACCACGUGCUUCGAUUAUUACCAACAUUGGAAGGUCACCAUGAACCCGAACAAUCCAUGCAGGGUCUGCACCGUCUUAGAAGAAAUGGUGGUGCUUCUUCCCAUGAGCCUCCUCGGCCUGCUCCUUGGCUUCCUUCCUCUCGUGGUGCUCGUGGGCGGCGUACCCUCCGCUGCCCACUGCCAUUGCCUUGCCGAUCUCCGCCUCCAUCUUGUGCCUACGAGCGUGCUCUGGGUCCUUCUCAACCUUGUGCUUCUCAUGCUGUGGUCACCAUUAUUGUGAUUGAUACAAGCACCAGCAUAUUUUGAUAUUGAAAGCCAAAACCCAUCUUAUACCGUAAGCACUAUGCAAAAUGUUAAUUAUUA